AUAAAGGUCAGGAAGUAUUAGUAAGGAUAUUUUUUCAGAGAGAGGCUGGUUGCUGCGAAGUCUUAGAAUAGAAUUGCGAACUCGUCCUGGAACUAGAACCUAUCGUUGCCAUCCGCGUUAAGGAGCAAAUUAAGUGUCACAUUUUUGUGAAACUUAGGUGGUACCGCGAUUAUUUCGUCCUAUGA
rnacentral:ncRNA from 1 species